AGAAAACAUUGCUGGCGGUUUGCUCAGAGGAAACAGAGAUGAAUCCCAAGCUGCUGCAAUAUAACAAAGCUGAGAAUAAGUGGCAAGAAUACGCGAGUAUAGAAAUUGAUUAGCAAUGAUAUACGACUUCCGAUGGUUGGGAGUUCGUAACAACGAAACAUAUGGUGCAAGAUUUGCUCUUUGGAAGUUUACGGUGGUUUUAUAGCUUGCGUAUUGCUAGACAAUAAACUAUGCGCUAUUACUGGCAAGCUCUUUCCUAGGAAGACAUACGUAUCACUAUAUGACGAGGAAAAUGACCGUUGGGGACAAAAGUGCUCACUACCCGAAAGAAGUAUUCAUUCCUGUUUUGUUGCGCCUGAAGACGUCGAACUAAAUGAACAAUAUUAAUAAAUAUAUAUCUUGUAAUAAAAGCUCUUAUAAGAAAUA